AUUUUGAUGCUCAAAGAGAUAUAUGGGGAGAACUUCUCCGUCCUGUUGAAAUAUGUCUUUUUUACCGAGCUAAAUUUCAAAGCCAGCAAUCAGAAUAUGCAUCUCAUGCAGUUCCCGUUAAUUUUUAUUGCAGAACUAAAGAGCUUAACAUAUGCCUUUGUGAGCUAUCAUUGGACGUACUUCUCUUCAUGAUUGGAAAAC